CAUGGAACCUGCAGGAACUAACCAUGUGGACAAAUGAAAAAUGUAUUUGUCUACAAAUUGCAGUGACCAUACAUAAACAUGGAGGUCUCUGUCCGGCUUAGGACAGCUGACUGAGUUUGAUCGUCUCCCUCCAUACAGG